AUGCGUCGGAGCCUCCGCCGGCGCCGGCGCGGCCUGCCCUCAUCAGUCUCCCCGCAGCGGGGAAGCGGUUCGCGUGUGCAACUCCGUGUCGGCUCGGGCUGCGGGCUGCGAGCGCUCUGCGGCGCACACGAAUAUUUUUAGAUAACAGCACGAAUAAUUUAUUUGCAAGGUAGUGAUCGCGCGCACUUUUGCGGAUAUCGGUAUCGGCGCAUGCGGGUUCGCGUGCGCUGCGCAAAGCGGUGGACGGCGGCGGGUGUCGGCUGCGCCCGCCGCCCGCCGGCGGAGACGUCCCGAUAGGUGCGUGAGGCGAUAGAGUUGCUGCAAGCUGCGCGGGCGCACUCCUCAUCGCUGGAGUGUCGACACUGGAUGGACUGGAUGAACUUCCCUACUAGCCAGAUGGAUGACAAUUAGCGGAGGAGAGAAGUAUUGUAGUGCGCGCUGUGCGCCUGAGUCAGCAUGAUGUCAUAGCAGCGGUGAUGCGGCUAAUGGGAGCGUCCCGCCGCCGACGUCACAUCCCAUUCCCGCCGCAUACUUCACCCAAUCGGGCGAUGACAAAUCCAUUCAUAUUCUUCCAUUGCCGUUAACUGUUGUGUUAAACAUUGAAUUCUUGCAAUUCCGAAGCAAUUAAAGUCCAUAUAACGAAACGGCACAUGACGCUCGUUGCUAACUGACUGCGGUUUUCCUCUCCUCAGCGAAUUUACGCUUUAGGUAAGUAACAUGGACAUUAUUCAGGUAUUUUUCCUAUAAAUGUGUUCCUAGUUUAUAAUGUGAAUAGUUUCGGCGGGGAGUGAACAGAGAAGCAAGAAGAUCUGGAAGAAAGAAGAAAAGGAAUAACGAAACUGGUUUUCAUAAUGAUUUGACAGAUUGUUCAAUAUUCUGAGAUCAUUGUGAAAGCUGAUUUUGUUCCUAGUUCAACGGUAGCGGUUGUCAACCAACGAGAAGAAUAAUUAACAGGAAGAUUAUUUUGUCAAUUAAAUGUAUGGUUGUGAAUUUUGUGUAUGUGUGUAUACAUAUGUAUAUUUUCAUGUAUGUUAUGACUGGCGUGUAAAUGAAGUGAUUUAUCUAGCAAAUAUAAUUGUAAUUUCUGGUUGCAUGGGCCCUGAAAUAUCAUCAUGUGAUUGUGAUCAUGUAAAAUGUCUCCAAAAUACAUUAGGAUAAAAUCCAGGAAAAUAAGUUUCCGGAUUCAGGAGAAUUAUAUUAUAUGCUUUAAUAUUAUACACAUUAAAUGGAGUUUAUGUAGAAUUUAAUACAGUAGUAUUAGCAUUUAUUGUAUGUGCUUUAUUAUGUGAAAGUGUUCUAUUUCGUGAAAUUGUACUAACGUAAUGUUUACUAUAAGUAGGUAUGUUAUGUGACACAGAGUACAUAUUAUAGACAGAUUUUAAGCACAACCUAACUAAACCUUAUCAUUUUUCUUGCAAAAUUAAAGUUUAAAUAAUUUAAAAGGGUUCGAAUCCAGGUCAGGCAAGUACCAAUGCAACUUUUCUAAGUUUGUAUGUACUUUCUAAGUAUAUCUUAGACACCAAUGGCUGAUAAAAAGGUGAAGGAAAACAUCUUGAGGAAACCUGGACUAUAUAGUCUGAAAUCACCAACCCGCAUUGAGCAAGCGUGGUGAUUAAUGCUCAAUCCUUCUCCGUGUGAGAGGAGGCCUGUGCCCAGCAGUGGGACGAUAAAUAGGCUGUAACUAAUUUAAAAGGUCUAUUUAGAUAGAAAAGCUAGGCGCAGGAGGAAUGCGUUAUUGUACAGAUUUUUGGAAAGGUCCUUUACUGUUGUGCAUAAUGUAUAAAAUGUAAUAAUUGUAACGUAUCCUGCUGUUAACAAAAUCUAAACUUUUGUUAUAAGAAAAAGAUUUUAUGUUAAGUAUAUAUUUUAUGUUACUAACUAAAUGACUAACUACAUCAUAUCUACUAUCCACUUAUUUUAUAAGUGAACGAAUAUCUUAUACCUACUUACUUAAAAAUAAAAAAAUAGGGUAAAAGCUUGAUGCUUCUGCAAUCUAACGAACGCAAAUUGAUUAAAAAUAAAUGCUACUCAAGCUUUAC
rnacentral:lncRNA from 1 species